rnacentral:rRNA from 1 species
GCAAGUCGAACGAGACCUUCGGGUCUAGUGGCGCACGGGUGCGUAACGCGUGGGAAUCUGCCCUUAGGUACGGAAUAACUCAGAGAAAUUUGUGCUAAUACCGUAUGAUGUCGAAAGACCAAAGAUUUAUCGCCUAAGGAUGAGCCCGCGUAAGAUUAGCUUGUUGGUGAGGUAAAAGCUCACCAAGGCGACGAUCUUUAGCUGGUCUGAGAGGAUGAUCAGCCACACUGGGACUGAGACACGGCCCAGACUCCUACGGGAGGCAGCAGUGGGGAAUAUUGGACAAUGGGCGAAAGCCUGAUCCAGCAAUGCCGCGUGAGUGAUGAAGGCCUUAGGGUUGUAAAGCUCUUUUACCAGGGAUGAUAAUGACAGUACCUGGAGAAUAAGCUCCGGCUAACUCCGUGCCAGCAGCCGCGGUAAUACGGAGGGAGCUAGCGUUGUUCGGAAUUACUGGGCGUAAAGAGUACGUAGGCGGUGAUUCAAGUCAGAGGUGAAAGCCUGGAGCUCAACUCCAGAACUGCCUUUGAAACUAGAUCGCUAGAAUUGUGGAGAGGUUAGUGGAAUUCCGAGUGUAGAGGUGAAAUUCGUAGAUAUUCGGAAGAACACCAGUGGCGAAGGCGACUAACUGGACACAUAUUGACGCUGAGGUACGAAAGCGUGGGGAGCAAACAGGAUUAGAUACCCUGGUAGUCCACGCCGUAAACGAUGAUAACUAGCUGUUCGGGGUCUACGAUCCUGAGUGGCGCAGCUAACGCAUUAAGUUAUCCGCCUGGGGAGUACGGUCGCAAGAUUAAAACUCAAAGGAAUUGACGGGGGCCUGCACAAGCGGUGGAGCAUGU